UUCACGCAGAUGCCCUGGAUGAGUUCUCUAAACACACAGAGGAGCUGCUGAAUGUGGGAAGGGGGUGCUGGAAGCCUGCCAGCAGCAAUGUGACACACCAGAAAAUCAAGACAAAGAAAAUCAAGGAAGAAGUCUGAGGGAGUGAAAGAAAAUGCCUUACCUAGAGAGGAACAAAGAUAAGAACUAUAUUGGAUUUCUCCUCAGAUACCAUGCAAGCAAGGAGAAUAGAGUGAAAUAUUUAAAGCACUGAAAGAAAAAAACCCACCAACCUGGAAUUCUACACCAGCAAAUUUAUCCCUUAAAGCGAAGGAGAAAUACGGGCUUUCCCAGAAAACAAAAUUGAGGGAAUUUAUCACCAAUAGACCUGAGCUGCAAGAUGUUAGAAGUUCUUCAGAGAGAAAGAAAAUGAUACAGGUCAUAAACUUAGACCUACAUAAAGAAAGAGUGUCAGAAGGAAUAAAUGAAGGAUUGGAGAAUGUCACAGCUCAAAGAUGUAAGGGAUCCAAGAUCUCAAUCUACAGAAGAGGAAACUUACACCGAGGAAGGUUCACAUCAAUUGAACCAGCAUGCUGAACACCUGUGGUCCACAGUCCUGCACUAACCACAGCGCUGGUGGUAGGAAAAAAACCAAAACAUCAUCACUGGUAUUUCCAUCGGUAGAAGAUCAAGGCAGCCAAAGAUUCAAGAAGAUCAAACACAAAGACCACUUGAGAUAGGCAAGGGUUGGUGCCAAGACUGCCUAGAGAAAGUUGAGAGAAUGAGGCUAAUCAUUACACAAGCAGGCCCAAGUACACUGCUGUGCCCUGGAGGAAACCAUGAUGUUAGACAUCAGACAUCUCAGAAAGAGAAGCCUGCCCUGCCUUUUUCACAAAAGAAUCAACAGGGUAGAGAUGGGUGGACGGUAGGAGUGCAGGCUCUGAAUUAGACAUUCAUCUUGCACCUACUUAA